AGAGUUUGAUCCUGGCUCAGAUUGAACGCUGGCGGCAUGCCUAACACAUGCAAGUCGAACGGCAGCACAGUGGAGCUUGCUCCAUGGGUGGCGAGUGGCGGACGGGUGAGUAAUGCAUCGGGACCUACCCAGACGUGGGGGAUAACGUAGGGAAACUUACGCUAAUACCGCAUACGUCCUACGGGAGAAAGCAGGGGACCUUCGGGCCUUGCGCGGUUGGACGGACCGAUGUUCGAUUAGCUUGUUGGUGAGGUAACGGCUCACCAAGGCGACGAUCGAUAGCUGGUCUGAGAGGAUGAUCAGCCACACUGGAACUGAGACACGGUCCAGACUCCUACGGGAGGCAGCAGUGGGGAAUAUUGGACAAUGGGCGCAAGCCUGAUCCAGCAUGCCGCGUGUGUGAAGAAGGCCUUCGGGUUGUAAAGCACUUUUAUCAGGAGCGAAAUACUACCGGCCCAUACCCGGUGGGGGCUGACGGUACCUGAGGAAUAAGCACCGGCUAACUUCGUGCCAGCAGCCGCGGUAAUACGAAGGGUGCAAGCGUUAAUCGGGAUUACUGGGCGUAAAGCGUGCGUAGGCGGUUUUGUUAAGUCUGCUGUGA
rnacentral:rRNA from 1 species